UAGCAGUGCCUGCCGUGCCUCUGGUACC
rnacentral:piRNA from 1 species